rnacentral:rRNA from 1 species
UACGUAGGGGGCAAGCGUUGUCCGGAAUCAUUGGGCGUAAAGAGCGUGUAGGCGGCCCGGUAAGUCCGCUGUGAAAGUCCAGGGCUCAACCCUGGGAUGCCGGUGGAUACUGUCGGGCUCGAGUCCGGAAGAGGAGUGUGGAAUUCCUGGUGUAGCGGUGAAAUGCGCAGAUAUCGGGAAGAACACCCGUGGCGAAGGCGGCUCUCUGGAACGCAACUGACGCUGAGACGCGAAAGCGUGGGGAGCAAACAGG